UACAGAGACUGCAAGCGUUGUUCGGAUUCAUUGGGCGUAAAGGGUGCGUAGGCGGCGCGGUAAGUCGGGUGUGAAAUCCUGAGGCUUAGCCUCAGAAUUGCAUUCGAUACUGCAGUGCUUGAGGACUGGAGAGGAGACUGGAAUUCAUGGUGUAGCAGUGAAAUGCGUAGAGAUCAUGAGGAAGACCAGUGGCGAAGGCGGGUCUCUGGACAGUUCCUGACACUGAGGCACGAAGGCCAGGGGAGCAAACGGG
rnacentral:rRNA from 1 species